rnacentral:rRNA from 1 species
UACGUAGGGGGCGAGCGUUGUCCGGAAUCAUUGGGCGUAAAGCGCGUGUAGGCGGCCCGGUAAGUCCGCUGUGAAAGUCCAGGGCUCAACCCUGGGAUGCCGGUGGAUACUGUCGGGCUCGAGUCCGGAAGAGGCGAGUGGAAUUCCUGGUGUAGCGGUGAAAUGCGCAGAUAUUAGGAGGAACACCGGUGGCGAAGGCGCCACUCUGGGCCGAAACUGACGCUGAGGAGCGAAAGCGUGGGUAGCAAACAGG